rnacentral:tRNA from 1 species
UACAAAAUUUGGUACAUGGUCAAAUGCCUUUGCGAUUCUAGCUGGCAAAAUAUUAAUGGACUCGGAUAUUUCUGAGACUUUAUGU